rnacentral:rRNA from 1 species
GAAGGUGUAUCUAGAAAGACAAAUUAGAGCUUGGAAAGUAAAGCAUUUCAUUUACAUUGAAAAGUAUAUUGUGUAAUUCAAUUUAAUUUGAUAAUAAUAAAAAUUUAUUAAUUUUUUUUAUUUAAAAAUUUAUUUAAUAAAAUUAAUUUUAGAUUAAUUUUUUUUUUGUAUAGUAUAUAGAUCAAAUAAUUUAUAUAAUAGUUAAUUAGUAUUGUAAAAGAAUAUUGAAAUAUAUGAAAAAGUUUUAAAUUAAAAGUAAAUUUUAUAUAUUGUACCUUGUGUAUCAGGGUUUAUUAAUUAAAAGUUAAAAAUUUAAUUUUUCUCGAAUUUAAGAGGGUUAAUUUAUUAUUUAAUUUUUUGUUUCAUAAAAAUUUAAAAUAAUAAAUUAGAAAUGAAAUGUUAUUCGUUCUUAAAUAUAUCUAGUUUUUUAAGAAAUAAAUUAAAUUUAGAUUAUUAAUAGAUAAUUAGUUAUUUAAAUAAUAAAUUAUUAUUAAUAGUUAAUAUUUUAGGGGAUAAGCUUUAAAGUAAAUUUUAUAAUAAUUUUUUAAUUUGAAAAUUAUAGAUUUAGAAAUAGUCAUUAAUUGUAAAAAUGUUAUAAUUUAUUUUAAAUUAAAAAUAAUUUUUAUUAAUUUAAGUUUUUAUUAAAAUAAUUUUUAAUAUUAUAUAAGUAUUAAAAUAAUGAUAAAAUUAGUAUAUUUAAUUGUUUUAAAAAUAUUGAUUGAAAGGUUAAAUUAAGGAACUUGGCAAAUAAAUACUCGCCUGUUUAACAAAAACAUGUCUUUUUGAAUAUAAUUUAAAGUCUAAUCUGCCCACUGAAAAAUUUUAAAGGGCCGCGGUAUU